UGGGGAAUAUUGGACAAUGGGGGCAACCCUGAUCCAGCAAUGCCGCGUGUGUGAAGAAGGCCUUCGGGUUGUAAAGCACUUUUAUCGGGAACGAAACAUUGUCGGCCAAUACCCGGCAAGACUGACGGUACCCGAGGAAUAAGCACCGGCUAACUCCGUGCCAGCAGCCGCGGUAAUACGGAGGGUGCAAGCGUUAAUCGGAAUUACUGGGCGUAAAGCGUGCGCAGGCGGUUUGUUAAGUCUGCUGUGAAAUCCCCGAGCUCAACUUGGGAAUUGCAGUGGAUACUGGCAAGCUGGAGUACGGUAGAGGAAGGUGGAAUUCCCGGUGUAGCAGUGAAAUGCGUAGAGAUCGGGAGGAACACCAGUGGCGAAGGCGGCCUUCUGGACCAGUACUGACGCUCAUGCACGAAAGCGUGGGGAGCAAGCA
rnacentral:rRNA from 1 species